UAAACCAAAAAUCCCGCAAAAAACCCAAAACUACUUUUUGCUCGUCCUCAAAAUCUGCUUAUGCUCCCUCCACUCCUAACCCCCACGAUCCUUAAAACCCUAACCCUUUCCCCCCUCUAACAAUCCCCACCUAUAAGUGAUCAAAAUUCUCCAAGGGGAAGCCGAAGCCGAAGCCAUGGCCAUCGCAAAUUCUAGAGACCUAGCCCUCUCACUCCUCACCGUUGUGAACAACCAUGCCGAUUUGGUGGUGAAGCUUUCGUCUCUCAAACAGGCCAAAGAUAUUCUUUCCUCUCUCGAUUCUUGUUUUGCUGUCGAGCUUUUCCUUUACCUCGCCGGGCUCCAACGUUCUCCUCGGAGCCUCGUUAUAAAAUUUGUUGUCGAAUGAGUUUCAAACCCUAAUUCUGCUCUUGCUUUCCUUUUUUCUUUGUAUUAAUUCUUUAUGAUUUUGUAUUCUUUUUCAGAAUCCUGUCACUGCAUUUUUACAGUUUGUUGUAAUAUUGUGAAUUUGUGAAAAAUUGAAAAUGUUUUGUGUUAACUCUAUAAAAUUACUGAUUUAAUUGCUUAUGAAGGAUGGCUUUGAUUUGUCAUCUUAUUGUAUAUCAUUUUUACAGUUUGUUGUAAUAUUGUGAAUUUGUGAAAAAUUGAAAAUGUUUUGUGUUAACUCUAUAAAAUUACUGAUUUAAUUGCUUAUGAAGGAUGGCUUUGAUUUGUCAUCUUAUUGUAUAUUGGUAGAAAAGGUUUAUCACUUUCUUUUAUAUGCUGGCUUUCUGUAGUGAUUUUUAAUUGCUUAUACAUUUUGACAGAUCAACACUUGUUGUUCUUGGUCUAACAACAUAUGUCAACCUUGCAUCCUUUAGACACUACUUCGGUUUAGGGAGCAACCCUGACGUGAUAAUUCAAAGCUGUUCAAAUUUUAGAAAUUUACCAGCUGCACCUCAAGCAAUUAUGUGUAUCUGAUCACCAAGUAAGCAGUUAUGUGAUAAAUCUUAGUUUUCUUUCCAUGGCUUCUCUUGUACUUUUUUUCUCUGAACUUCGUCGCCGCCAUGAACCAAACUUUGCUUUUGUAACACCUCCUGCUUCUUGCGGCGCUUCAAUGUCUUUACUUGCCAAGAAACCAUUGAAAAAUGAUGCCAACAAGUAUAUGUCAGAGAUUGUAGAGGAAGAUUGACAAGAGCUAAGGGUUUUUGUUGACUUGUUUGGCCUUAAUUUUAUGAUCUGAUGCAUGCAAACCAGAAUUCUAGCCCCAUACAUGUUCUUUUGUCAUCUCUGAUUCUAGCCCCAAACUUGUAAUUUGAAUUGCCCUAUAUCUAUAUCAUGUUCUUCAAACAUACAAGAAAAUGAAUAAAUUUUACUCCUAUCUAUGUGGUGAAUAAGCCAAGGUGAUCUACUUUAACUACUUAUUCAAGACCUGACUGUAGGUAGCUGCUCAGCAGCUGGGAAAUGCAUUUUUAUUUUUCAACUAAUAGAUGUAACUGAAAAAAUAACCAAUGAAUAAGAUAAAUGCAAUAAAGCUUACACAAAUGAAUAGGAUAAAUGAAAAUCCUUAUGUUUCCUUUGUCCUAUGUUUCGAAAAAUGACCAUUUAAUUGUUAGGAACCAAAAAAAGGUAUACAUACGAAGUGUGAGACAGAUGAAAUAUCACAAGAGUUCGAAGGAUUUUCAUUUGGGUUUUCGAAACAUAAGACUUCUGAAGAACAAUAAAAUUAAUUCUCCCAUGAAAAAGGAUUAAAGAUUGGGUUUAAAAAAUCUUAGGCAAGAAAUGGAAUAAAAGCAUAUACUAUUGUUGGCGUUGGGGGUGGGUAUGGGGGUAUGAGUCAGUCUAGGGUUGGCUUCGACUCCGUAAAUGGAAUGGAAGCAGUUCGACUGCAGCAACUAACAUCACUUUGGAGAAGUUGGAGAAAGAAUUGCUCCACCAAAUUGUUAAUGGCAGAGAUAGCCAGGUCACCUUUGAUCAGUUUCCCUACUAUCUCAGACUCGAGCAUUGCUGACUAGUGCAACCUAUGUCCAUUUGAAACAUGCUGAUGUUUUCAAGUACACCAGGAGCCUUUCCCCUGCUAGUCAAGCUAUAUUGCUAUCAAGAUCUGCAGAACUUUACCACCAAAUGCUUGCCAAAGCUUUAGCCCAUUACUUUGAAUCAAAGCUGUUGUUAUUGGAUGUAACUGACUUUUCCUUAAAAAUUCAAAGUAAAUAUGGAAGUGGCAAAAAAUCUGCACCUUCCAAUACAGCAUCAAAGACAAAAGAUUUCAGCACAGCCAACUUAAAAUAUGGGAUGCAAAACUAUUAGAUUCAUCAUUAUUAAUUUGGUUUUGGCAAUUGGGUUGAAUAUUUCUUAGAAGUUGACUGGUUUUUCUAAUGGACCAGAAAAAAUGCUAAUGGUUAACAAUGGGCCUAACGAAGCUGGUGAAGGACCAGUGAUACUGGGCAAGGUUCCAACCACAUUAAGCCUCAACAAAAGCAAAACGACAACAAAAGAGGUGGCGUUCCGUUUUCGCAGCCAUAUAUCCUUCCAUGACUCGUCUCUUUAUACAUGAAGGUUAUUAACAAGAAGCAGAUCUUGCGAACUCUAUCCUGUAUUGCCCUUGAUAUCCAUGAUAAUAAUUCGGGUGAUGAUCACCUACCUUCUCUCUGUGUUCAUCAAAAUACACUCACUGAGGUGGUAAGUGAGAAGAACCUUGAAAAACUAAGUAAACUUGGAGGAGUGAAACAAAUUGCUGCAAGCCUUGCAACUGAUGAGAAGCAUGGUAUCAGUGCCAAUCAGGCUGAUCUUGCAGUAGGAUUGCCGUCUACGGUGUCAACAGUUAUCAAAACCACCUACCAAAAGCUUCUGUAAUUUUUUAUUUGAAGCUUUUAAGGAUACAACAAUUAUGUAUUCUUGGU